UUAGUCGACUCGGGGGAUAACACUAGUAAAUAGUAGCUAAUACCGCGAUAAGCGCACGGAGGCCGCAUGGCGUCAGUGUGAAAAACUACCGGUGGUGUAAGAUGGAUCCGCGUCUGACUUAGCUGGUUGGCGGGGUAGAAGCCCACCAAGGCGACGAUCAGUAGCCGGCCUGAGAGGGUGAACGGCCACAUUGGGACUGAGACACGGCCCAAACUCCUACGGGAGGCAGCAGUGGGAAUAUUGCACAAUGGGGGAAACCCUGAUGCAGCAACGCCGCGUGAGUGAAGAAGUCAUUCGUGAUGUAAAGCUCUAUCAGCAGGGAAGAAAAUGACGGUACCUGAGUAAGAAGCCCCGGCUAACUACGUG
rnacentral:rRNA from 1 species